rnacentral:rRNA from 1 species
UACGUAGGGUGCAAGCGUUGUCCGGAAUCAUUGGGCGUAAAGCGCGCGUAGGCGGCCCGAUAAGUCCGCUGUAAAAGUCAACGGCUCAACUGUUGGAAGCCGGUGGAUACUGUCGGGCUAGAGUACGGAAGAGGCAAGUGGAAUUCCUGGUGUAGCGGUGGAAUGCGCAGAUAUCAGGAGGAACACCUAUAGCGAAGGCAGCUUGCUGGGACGUUACUGACGCUAAGGCGCGAAAGCGUGGGGAGCGAACAGG